UACGGGGGGGGGCAAGCGUUGUUCGGAAUUACUGGGCGUAAAGGGCUCGUAGGUGGCCAACUAAGUCAGACGUGAAAUCCCCUCGGCUUAACCGGGGAACUGCGUCUGAUACUGGAUGGCUUGAGUUUGGGAGAGGGACGCGGAAUUCCAGGUGUAGCGGUGAAAUGCGUAGAUAUCUGGAGGAACACCGGUGGCGAAGGCGGCGUCCUGGACCAAUACUGACACUGAGGAGCGAAAGCCAGGGGAGCAAACGGG
rnacentral:rRNA from 1 species